rnacentral:rRNA from 1 species
GAUGAACGCUGGCGGCGUGCUUAACACAUGCAAGUCGAACGAAGCACUUUAUUUGAUUUCCUUCGGGACUGAUUAUUUUGUGACUGAGUGGCGGACGGGUGAGUAACGCGUGGGUAACCCGCCUUGUACAGGGGGAUAACAGUUGGAAACGGCUGCUAAUACCGCAUAAGCGCCCAGCAUCGCAUGAUGCAGUGUGAAAAACUCCGGUGGUAUAAGAUGGACCCGCGUUGGAUUAGCUAGUUGGUGAGGUAACGGCCCACCAAGGCGACGAUCCAUAGCCGACCUGAGAGGGUGACCGGCCACAUUGGGACUGAGACACGGCCCAAACUCCUACGGGAGGCAGCAGUGGGGAAUAUUGCACAAUGGGCGAAAGCCUGAUGCAGCGACGCCGCGUGAGCGAAGAAGUAUUUCGGUAUGUAAAGCUCUAUCAGCAGGGAAGAUAAUGACGGUACCUGGCGAAGAAGCACCGGCUAAAUACGUG